UACGAAGGGGGCUAGCGUUGCUCGGAAUCACUGGGCGUAAAGGGCGCGUAGGCGGCCAUUCAAGUCGGAGGUGAAAGCCCAGGGCUCAACCCUGGAAUUGCCUUCGAUACUGUUUGGCUCGAGACCGGAAGAGGUAAGUGGAACUGCGAGUGUAGAGGUGAAAUUCGUAGAUAUUCGCAAGAACACCAGUGGCGAAGGCGGCUCACUGGCCCGUUACUGACGCUCAUGCACGAAGGCCAGGGGAGCAAACGGG
rnacentral:rRNA from 1 species